rnacentral:lncRNA from 13 species
AUGAGCAGCCGCCCCGCCGCCCCGCGCACCUGCUUGGAGUUCUGGGCAUCUUCUUUCCCCACCACAGCUGGCGCCCCCCGGUUAUCCCGCCCCGUCCACUCCCUGGCCCACCCCUGCGCUCCCGGAACCCGGGAUCUGCACCUCCUCCGAGCUUGGUUGCGCUGCCUCUGCCCGCGCCCACCGGCCAGACGCCCCUUCCCCCGUCACUCCAGGCCCCCCAGGCCCACCCCUGCGCCCCUCGUCCUCCUCCCGGAGCGCCCCCGAAUCCGUUCCACGCCCUGCACGUCUCCCUUCCCCUGCGCUACCACAGCCUCUGCCUUGGGACCGCGCUCCCAACCCCCAGCCUCCCAGCCUGCGCCCCAACCACGUCUGUCCUCCAUCCUGGGGCAGCCUCGGAGUGCCCGCGACCCGCUGCGCCUGGACCUGUACUCCCCAGCACUCGGCGCCCCCGCUCGGCGCACCCACCCCCAAGCGCCAGAAAACCCUCCCCUCCUUCACGCUUGGGCGACCUCUGACCUCCAGCGCCCUGCGCCCCUCGCCCCUACUCUACACUCCAAGCCGUCGCCCCUCCCCCAGCACCCAGCCUCCGCCCCCGGGUUGCGCCCCCACCCCGCUGUACGCCACCGCCCCGCCAGACCUCUAGGUGUUGGAGCAGCCUCUGCGCACCCUGGCGGUCCCCUGCACCCAGGCUUCUUCCGCGACAUACGGCCCCCUGCACCCCCCGGCAGCCUCCGGCACCUCUUCCAAGCUCCGGCAUCCUCUGCCCUGGGCAGGCGCUGGAGGCGCCGAUGCCUCCGAGGGCAUCGAUUGGCUUCUGUCCGGAAGCCCGGCACCGCCUCCGCCCACCCCCGCGGGCGUGGGUCGUCUCCGCCCAGCUGCAGCCCCCGCCCGCAAACAAGCCCGCGCGCCGCCUGGUGCCCAGCCGGGGCUGCCGGGGAGAGACACCCGGUAACGGCCGGGGGCUGCGCCCCGUGCCGCGCCCCGCCCCCACUGCAGCCCGCGGUUUCCCGGUUUGGACAUUUAACCUUCCAUCAGCCGGCCCCGAAGUAA